UGUCGCAGAUGGAUGAGCCUGCGUUGGAUUAGCUAGUUGGUGGGGUAAGGGCCUACCAAGGCUACGAUCCAUAGCUGAUUUGAGAGGAUGAUCAGCCACAUUGGGACUGAGACACGGCCCAAACUCCUACGGGAGGCAGCAGUGAGGAAUAUUGGACAAUGGGGGCAACCCUGAUCCAGCAAUGCCAUGUGUGUGAAGAAGGCCUUAGGGUUGUAAAGCACUUUAGUUGGGGAAGAAAGCUUUGAGGUUAAUAGCCUUGAGGAAAAGGACGUUACCCAAAGAAUAAGCACCGGCUAACUCCGUGCCAGCAGCCGCGGUAAUACGGGGGGUGCAAGCGUUAAUCGGAAUUACUGGGCGUAAAGGGUCUGUAGGUGGUUUGUUAAGUCAGAUGUGAAAGCCUAGGGCUCAACCUUGGAACUGCAUUUGAUACUGGUAAACUAGAGUACGGUAGAGGAAUGGGGAAUUUCUGGUGUAGCGGUGAAAUGCGUAGAGAUCAGAAGGAACACCAAUGGCGAAGGCAACAUUCUGGACCGAUACUGACACUGAGGGACGAAAGCGUGGGGAUCAAACAGGAUUAGAUACCCUGGUAGUCCACGCUGUAAACGAUGAGUACUAGCUGUUGGAGUCGGUGUAAAGGCUCUAGUGGCGCAGCUAACGCGAUAAGUACUCCGCCUGGGGACUACGGCCGCAAGGCUAAAACUCAAAGGAAUUGACGGGGACCCGCACAAGCGGUGGAGCAUGUAGUUUAAUUCGAUGCAACGCGAAGAACCUUACCUGGUCUUGACAUCCUGCGAUCUUUCUAGAGAUAGAUUGGUGCCUUCGGGAACGCAGUGACAGGUGCUGCACGGCUGUCGUCAGCUCGUGUUGUGAAAUGUUGGGUUAAGUCCCGCAACGAGCGCAACCCCUAUUGAUAGUUACCAUCAUUAAGUUGGGUACUC
rnacentral:rRNA from 1 species